rnacentral:rRNA from 1 species
AUUGAACGCUGGCGGCAGGCCUAACACAUGCAAGUCGAACGAGUGGCGGACGGGUGAGUAAUGGCUGGGAAUCUGCCUGAUGGAGAGGGAUAACUACUGGAAACGGUAGCUAAUACCGCAUACCAUCGGAUGUGCCCAGAUGGGAUUAGCUAGGAGGUGGGGUAAAGGCGUACCUAGGCGACGAUCCCUAGCUGGUAUGAGAGGAUGACCAGCCACACUGGAACUGAGACACGGUCCAGACUCCUACGGGAGGCAGCAGUGGGGAAUAUUGGACAAUGGGCGCAAGCCUGAUGCAGCCAUGCCGCGUGUAUGAAGAAGGCCUUCGGGUUGUAAAGUACUUUCAGCGGGGAGGCGUUACCAACAGAAUAAGCACCGGCUAACUUCGUGCCAGCAGCCGCGGUAAUUC